rnacentral:rRNA from 1 species
AGCAGUAGCCGCGGGAAUACAGAGGGUGCGAGCGUUAAUCGGAUUUACUGGGCGUAAAGCGUGCGUAGGCGGCUUCUUAAGUCGGAUGUGAAAUCCCUGAGCUUAACUUAGGAAUUGCAUUCGAUACUGGGAAGAUAGAGUAUGGGAGAGGAUGGUAGAAUUCCAGGUGUAGCGGUGAAAUGCGUAGAGAUCUGGAGGAAUACCGAUGGCGAAGGCAGCCAUCUGGCCUAAUACUGACGCUGAGGUACGAAAGCAUGGGGAGCAAACAGGAUUAGAUACCCGUGUAGUCCCUGUCUCUUAUAC